rnacentral:rRNA from 1 species
CCUACGGGAGGCAGCAGUGAGGAAUAUUGGUCAAUGGGCGAAAGCCUGAACCAGCCAAGUCGCGUGAAGGAUGAAGGCCCUACGAUUUGUAAACUUCUUUUGUCAGGAAGCAAUUGAGUCCACGUGUGGACUUAGCACGGGUACCUGAAGCGAAAGCAUCGGCUAACUCCGGGCCAGCAGCCGCGGUAAUACGGAGGAGGCGAGAGUUAUCAGGAUUUAGUGGGUUUAAAGGGUGCGUAGGCGGAAUAUCAAGUCAGCGGUAAAAAUUCGGGGCUCAACCCCGUCGUGCCGUUGAAACUGAUGUUCUUGAGUGGGCGAGAAGUAUGCGGAAUGCGUGGUGUAGCGGUGAAAUGCAUAGAUAUCACGAAGAACUCAGAUUGCGAAGGCAGCUCACUGGACUGUAACUGACACUGAGGCUCGAAAGUGUGGGGAUCAAACAGGAUUAGAUACCCUUGUAGUC